AUUGAACGCUGGCGGCAUGCCUUACACAUGCAAGUCGAACGGUAACGGGCCUUCGGGUGCCGACGAGUGGCGAACGGGUGAGUAAUACAUCGGAACGUGCCCGAUCGUGGGGGAUAACGAGGCGAAAGCUUUGCUAAUACCGCAUACGAUCUACGGAUGAAAGCAGGGGACCGCAAGGCCUUGCGCGGACGGAGCGGCCGAUGGCAGAUUAGGUAGUUGGUGGGAUAAAAGCUUACCAAGCCGACGAUCUGUAGCUGGUCUGAGAGGAUGAUCAGCCACACUGGGACUGAGACACGGCCCAGAAUCCUACGGGAGGAAGCAGUGGGGAAUUUUGGACAAGGGGCGCAAGCCUGAUCCAGCAAUGCAGGGUGCAGGAUGAAGGCCUUCGGGUUGUAAACUGCUUUUGUACGGAACGAAAAGCCUUCUUUUAAUACAGGAGGGUCAUGACGGUACCGUAAGAAUAAGCACCGGCUAACUACGUG
rnacentral:rRNA from 1 species